rnacentral:misc_RNA from 1 species
GAUGAAGAACGUAGCGAAAUGCGAUAAGUAAUGUGAAUUGCAGAAUUCAGUGAAUCAUCGAAUCUUUGAACGCACCUUGCACCCUUUGGCAUUCCGAAGGGUAUGCUCGUUUGAGUGUCAUUGUACUCUCACACUUCCAAUCUUUGGAUUGGGAGCAGUGGACUUGGGUGUUGCUGCUUACUGUGGCUCACCUCAAAUCGAUUCGUGCACCUCUUGGUUGGACAUAGUACGGCGUGAUAAGUGUCUUCGCCGGCACCUCAGUAGAGGGUGGCUGAUCAGGAGCUCUGUGCUUCAAACCGUCCUCGGACAACAACUGACAACUUGAACUCAAAUCGAGUAGGACUACCCGCUGAACUUAAGCAUAUCAAGAAGCGGAGGA